AGUGAACGCUGGCGGUAGGCCUAACACAUGCAAGUCGAACGGCAGCACAGUAAGAGCUUGCUCUUACGGGUGGCGAGUGGCGGACGGGUGAGGAAUACAUCGGAAUCUACUUUUUCGUGGGGGAUAACGUAGGGAAACUUACGCUAAUACCGCAUACGACCUACGGGUGAAAGCAGGGGAUCUUCGGACCUUGCGCGAUUGAAUGAGCCGAUGUCGGAUUAGCUAGUUGGCGGGGUAAAGGCCCACCAAGGCGACGAUCCGUAGCUGGUCUGAGAGGAUGAUCAGCCACACUGGAACUGCGACACGGUCCAGACUCCUACGGGAGGCAGCAGUGGGGAAUAUUGGACAAUGGGCGCAAGCCUGGUCCAGCCAUACCGCGUGGGUGAAGAAGGCCUUCGGGUUGUAAAGCCCUUUUGUUGGGAAAGAAAAGCAGCAGGUUAAUACCCCGCUGUUCUGACGGUACCCAAAGAAUAAGCACCGGCUAACUUCGUG
rnacentral:rRNA from 1 species